AUUUGAUGUUGAGGGCAUUUGUUACAUAUUUCUUAAACCUCUCCCAAUACUCAUAGAGAGACUCACCUGGGUGUUGUUUGAUACCACAGAUUUCCUUCUUUAAACU